rnacentral:lncRNA from 1 species
CGAAACUUUGACUGGAAUUAUGCCCACAGGUAGUCCCAUGGGACACAGGAAUGUCCAAAACCCUGCUCUUGCACGGUUGAAUUACUUUUAUAAACUCCUUCCUAGCUGGGCCCCUUACCAGGUAGCGUACCUGGGCAAAUGCUCUGUGCCUCAGUUUCCAUGUUUGCAACAUAAGAUCCAUAAGUCCCAUUGAGUUGUUAGGAGGGUAUAAAAAGAACAUAACUCACGGAGAAUGCUCAGACUAGUGUAUGGCAUGUGGUAAAUACUCAAUGAGCGUGUGUCACCAGCCUUGCUAUUAUUAUUACUGCUGCCACUACUAUAUUUAGUCCUUCUAAAAUAAUGUUUCCCAGGAACCUUCUGUGGUAUUUGGUGAGUAGGUGAUUGUGUCCCACUGAUCUGGCUCAAGAGUGAUCUUUUUCCACAUUACCCCCAUGGCCCUUAGCUUCUAGCCACUCUUACAGAAUAUGAAUUCAUUCUGCUUUAUAGAGAGGCUGUGUACAUAUUUUUCACUCUAAGAUUGCUUCCUCCCUGAGGGUAGGGAUGUGACUCUGCCUUCUUUCUGUCCCUCCUGGUGCCUACUCUUUGCUCUGUUCAGGGUAAGGCUCCAAGCCUGCUUGUUGGAUGAUAUUAAGCGAAGGAAAUGAUGACUGCCCGUGGGGGUUCACAUUACCUAAACGCACUGUUGAGCAGCCCUGUAGAAUGAUGGCCCAGGCCAACGACUUAAUGUGAUCCAACAGGCCAUUUUCAAAGUAAGGGCCCAAGAUAAGGAUAAGCAAAAGGAGAUCUAAGCUGCCUUUUAAUAAACAUGCUGCAGUCUUUUAGUGGCAGGGCCCCUGUUACAUUGGAGCACAGGAUCACGUAUCAACAAUAAAAAAAGUCUAGAGGAAAAGUUACUCAGAAUUAGUCUAGAGCAUAGUGCAUUUUUAAAGCCAGCAAGUAAGUGUGUCCAGUGUGAGGCACGUUUGCACAUGUGGUUCAUGGGACAUUGAUUUUCUCCGACGCAAGCUAACAACAACAACAACAACAGCAGCAGCAACAACAACAACAACAACAGCAACAACAGCAGCAACAGCAGCAACAACAACAGCAAAGCCCAGUCAAGUUACCAGGAGGAAAGGAAAUGUGACAUUUCUGUCACUGAUGUGAACCAAGAGAGGGCUUGUUAUAUUACAGUGAUUGUCAAAAUCAGACACAUUCUUAAACGUGACGGUCAGGGGGAGAAAUUCUUCCGGAGACCACACUGCAAGCAUUGUUUUGAAUUCAGAGUCAUGGCCAUCCCUUUUCUCUGCAGGACUGUAGAGGUGACCUACAAAGGAACACUGAUUAGAGGCAGAGACUGCACUCCGAGAUCCUAUGAAAGACCUCACUGGACUCAGCUCCUGGAGAGAGAAGCUGUGUCAGAGCAGAGAAGACCUCAUCCGGGUGUCUCUACACAAGAUAUAUCCUGAUUACUGAAGAGCAGAUUGUGUACAAAAAGCUCCCGAUCACUUUCAGAAACUUAUAAAGGGCUGCUUCAGCUCCAUUCACUGUCA